rnacentral:tRNA from 1 species
UAGAUAGAUGCUCACUGGCUUGAGCGCUUAGCUGUUAACUAAGACUUUAUAGGAUCGAGGCCUUUCUAUCUAG